ACCCAAACCUGGCAGAGAUACAACAAAGAAAACUUCAGGCCAAUAUCCCUGAUGAACAUGGAUGCAAAAAUCCUCAAUAAAAUACUGGCAAACCGAAUCCAGCAGCACAUCAAAAGUUCAUCCACCAUCAAGUUGGCCUCAUCCCUAGGGUGCAAGGUUGGUUCAACAUAUGUAAAUCAAUAAAUAUAGUUCAUCACAUAAACAGUACUAAAGACAAAAACCACAAGAUUAUCUCAAUAGAUACAGAAAAGGCCUUUGGUAAAAUUCAAAAACUCACAACCAGUAUCAUACUGAAUGGGCAAAACAGCAUUCCCCUCGGAAGCA
rnacentral:lncRNA from 1 species